AAUGAAGUGUCUGACUAAAGAGUUAUUUUGAUAGAAUAAAACAUGUAAUACUUAUUACCUUCAUUA
rnacentral:tRNA from 1 species